rnacentral:rRNA from 1 species
AGGGCGGAGCUACCAUGCAAGUCGAGCGGAUGAGAGGAGCUUGCUCUUCGAUUCAGCGGCGGACGGGUGAGUAAUGCCUAGGAAUCUGCCUAGUAGUGGGGGACAACGUUUCGAAAGGAACGCUAAUACCGCAUACGUCCUACGGGAGAAAGUGGGGGAUCUUCGGACCUCACGCUAUUAGAUGAGCCUAGGUCGGAUUAGCUAGUUGGUAGGGUAAAGGCCUACCAAGGCGACGAUCCGUAACUGGUCUGAGAGGAUGAUCAGUCACACUGGAACUGAGACACGGUCCAGACUCCUACGGGAGGCAGCAGUGGGGAAUAUUGGACAAUGGGCGAAAGCCUGAUCCAGCCAUGCCGCGUGUGUGAAGAAGGCCUUCGGGUCGUAAAGCACUUUAAGUUGGGAGGAAGGGCUCAUAGCGAAUACCUGUGAGUUUUGACGUUACCAACAGAAUAAGCACCGGCUAACUUCGUGCCAGCAGCCGCGGUAAUACGAAGGGUGCAAGCGUUAAUCGGAAUUACUGGGCGUAAAGCGCGCGUAGGUGGCUUGAUAAGUUGGAUGUGAAAUCCCCGGGCUCAACCUGGGAACUGCAUCCAAAACUGUCUGGCUAGAGUGCGGUAGAGGGUAGUGGAAUUUCCAGUGUAGCGGUGAAAUGCGUAGAUAUUGGAAGGAACACCAGUGGCGAAGGCGACUACCUGGACUGACACUGACACUGAGGUGCGAAAGCGUGGGGAGCAAACAGGAUUAGAUACCCUGGUAGUCCACGCCGUAAACGAUGUCAACUAGCCGUUGGGAUCCUUGAGAUCUUAGUGGCGCAGCUAACGCAUUAAGUUGACCGCCUGGGGAGUACGGCCGCAAGGUUAAACUCAAAUGAAUUGACGGGGCCCGCACAAGCGGUGGAGCAUGUGGUUAAUUCGAAGCACGCGAAAACCUUCCUGGCUUGACUGCUGAGACUUUCCAAAAAGGAUGGUGGCCUCCGGAAUCCAA